rnacentral:rRNA from 1 species
UACGGAGGGAGCUAGCGUUGUUCGGAAUUACUGGGCGUAAAGCGCACGUAGGCGGCUUUGUAAGUUAGAGGUGAAAGCCCGGGGCUCAACCCCGGAAUUGCCUUUAAGACUGCAUCGCUUGAAUCCAGGAGAGGUGAGUGGAAUUCCGAGUGUAGAGGUGAAAUUCGUAGAUAUUCGGAAGAACACCAGUGGCGAAGGCGGCUCACUGGAGCUGGUAUUGACGCUGAGGUGCGAAAGCGUGGGGAGCAAACAGG